UGAGUAACCUGCCCUCAGCUUUGGGAUAACCCUCGGAAACGGGGGCUAAUACCGGGUAUUCAUUUUUGGCGGCAUCGUCGGGGGUGGAAAGUUUUUCGGCUGGGGAUGGGCUCGCGGCCUAUCAGCUUGUUGGUGGGGUAAUGGCCUACCAAGGCUUCGACGGGUAGCCGGCCUGAGAGGGCGACCGGCCACACUGGGACUGAGACACGGCCCAGACUCCUACGGGAGGCA
rnacentral:rRNA from 1 species